ensembl:lncRNA
GGCGGGAAGCGGGUCUGGAGCGGGCUGGCGGGGCAGCCGGGUCGAGGAGAGGCGGCUGGGACCCCCCAGCGCUGAGGGGAGCUGAAGGGAGCGGGCGUUGGGGUCGCGCCGCGCCUCCUGAGGGCCCUUCUCCCGAUAGCAGAAGAAACAGCAAGUAAGAGGAUACGCAGUUCUAGAUCAGAGGCUUUCAGCUCACAGGCAGAGGACCCCAGGAGUCUGCUGGCGGCUUGCACGGGGUCUGCAGGAUGUGUCUGUGCCUGUAGGAGAAUGCUUGGAGUUCAGGCUUCUGCAUCUCUCAAGAUCCUGGAAAAAAAUGGAAGACCGCUAUUUCUAGAUCACGGAGAUAUUUUAGUUUAGAGUAAGUGGAGGAGGAGUGGGAAAGCAAACUGUAUCUGGGUGUUCUGCUGUCUGUUUUGCUACUAUAGAGCUUAAAAAAAAAAAUGUUGAAUUUAAUGUAUUUUGAAGAGUUACAUAAGCCUAGGAUGACGAUUCUUAAAUAGCCUUAAAGAGUUAAAUAACAGCAUGCGAACGAGCAAGAAUGGGUUGGGGAGAGAUGAUUUUAUAACCAACACUGACGAGCGUGCCUGGAUAUUUAAAACUGCAGCUGAGUUGUGCUUGAAUCUUGUGUUAGUAGUAGUGGUGUUGGGGUUUUAAUUCUCUGUAACAGAAUGUGAGAAGGAGGGUAGAAGGAUAAAGUUUUUCACAGUUACGUGCAGGUCCAGGUCAUUAAAUGUAUCGGGAAUGGUUUAUGAUGCUCCAUUAUGAUGCUUCCAUUCUGUCGUAACAUUACCAGUACAAUGUUCUGCGUAUGAAAUAGUGAGAUUUUCCAGAUAUUAACUUGCCUCAGAGAGGAGGGAAUCUUGCUUUAAAAUAUCAAGGAAAGGUUAGUUGUGCCGAAUGGUGAGAGGGUGGUAAUCAGCCAUAUUUGGUACGUGCUGUGGCGGGCUGGUGUUCUCUGUUGGUUAUGGGAGUCGAAUGAAAUGGCGUUGAGCACAGAAAUACUGUUUAUUUGCCCAAACAGUAUCAGCUUGCUUUCUACCAGCACAUCUGCAUGUCUUUAUAUAUUUUUCUACUUCGGUGGGGGGGGGGGGGGGGGAGAAAACCCACCUUGAAUAGCAAAUGGGCAGGGAGCAGUUGGUUUGUUAUGGAUCUGAGGGUACUGGAGGGUGCACAGGAGCAGAGCACGUCAGUGUGUGAUUUUUGUGUACAUGGAAUUGCUGGUGGAAUUGAUGCCCCAGGAAAUUGCUUUCUCUAUUUUUGUUGGUGACAUGCAGUUAACAUAAAAUGAGCACUUUGGAUCCCGUAUCCCAUUUCUCUUUAAUAUAACUAAGAUCGUUUAUCUUCUCAGACGGCUGGAGGAAAAAUAUUUCAUUUUGUAACUUAGUUCACCUUCUCUUCAAUUGCUGUCAGUUCAUGACAGGGAACAAUGUGUGCUGUACACGGUGUUCUACUGAGCUGUUUUGGUGACGAAUAUAAUGUAUAUGAAAAAAAAAAAGCCUAUGAAAAAUAGGUGUUGUGCCAGUUCUUCUCACUUCUAUGUAAACAGUACCAAUUUAUCUUUCAUGUAAGAGGUACUCAGUGUUUCACGGUGGGAUCUAAUGCCAGAUUUCAGUAGCAAAAAGAUCUCUUAUUUUGUUGUUUGUGUGUGCUUAAAAAAGGUUUCUAAAAGUAUUUGUCUAAAUGAGUGUUCACAUGGAUGUUGCUACAGGAAGUAGUGAAAGUCUUUUUUUUCCUGUUUUAAUAAAAUGGGUAAUUGGGAACUUAUUUUAAAGGCAAGUGUUUGUUAAUGUUACUUGUUGCCUAUUACACGGUUAAAAUUGAGAGGAGCUCCUUAAUCCGGGCUGGUUUUUUUUUUCCAUUGCUGUAAUCACGUGUUUACUUUUUUUUAUCCCCUAUUAACAAUGAAAGCAUGGAGUUACGUUUUUGCUGCCAUGUCUAUAGUAUGACAGGCUGUAGCUAUCAUGCAAUAUUUACGUGGUGCUAUUUCAUAAAUAUCCUGCUUCUCGAAUUAUGUGGCCGUACCAGGAUAUGAGCUUAAAAAACCUAUAACGUAAAGGAUAAAAGUAGUUGCAACCAUGAACGCUGAAAUAGAAAUUAAAAAACAAAAUGACAAGACGUUUCCCUGAUAGUUGUUCCGAGUCAGCUUCAUGAUAAUUUUGUGUCCCAACUUGGGGCUUUCUGGAGAAAGAAUUAAUGGAGUUGCAACUGUUUGCAGUGAAUUUAUGCGUAGAUGGUAUUUUUUUCUGUUGGCUUUGGGCUUUGCGAAAAUACGGCAUAAGAUGUACUAUGCCUUGUGAGCCCUUCAGUGUGCUACACCUCAGCCGGCAGACACUGCGUGGUUACCUAACAGCCGGGCUGCAAACUGGAGCUGUUUGUGUUCUGAGUUUCACCCUUAUCAAGGUCAGAGAUUUCAUCCUUCUGUAGUUUCCUGAUCUGGGCACUUAACGCUUGCAGAUGGCCCUCGUUUGUGGGUAUUUGUGACCUGUCCUGAGCUCAGGAAGGAAUGUGUUAAAUGUCCGCAGGAACAACUUGCUUCUCCCCAGAUGGAACUCGGGAGAUCCCUGAAAAUCCCCGAAAGACUGACGAUGACGCAGUAAAAAUAAGAAUUGUGGCAGUAAAACAGUCAAGCUGAAACUUUCCUCACUUUCUGACAGAAAGUGAUGUAUUUAGCAGGACAAGAAAAAAAGGGAUGGCUGUAGUAUAUGCUGGUUAUCAUUAGUUGAAAUCAAUCUGAAUGCGGAAGUUUUGCUAUUGUCAGUAGUUUAUUUUCUGAGUACUUCAGUCUGAACGUGUGGGGUAAUUGGGUGGGUGAGAGGGGGGAGGUGCUGCUCCUGAGCCGGGUGCAGCAGUGAGAUGAAUCCCACGGGGCUGUUUGUUAUGUGAGAACUCUUUAUUUUUCUGGUAUUAUCCUGUUAGGAGGCAGUAAUGGUUUCUGCUGAAGUUGUUGGGUUUUUUGUUUAUUUUUAAAAAUUCUUUCUAGGUUAUAAAUUUGUUACUAAAGCAUAAGCAAAAGAAAUUGGGAAGUAAAUAGUUUAAGGAGCCAUGAUUUUUUUUUUAUUAUUAGCGCUUCUCCGAACGUGAGUCUUGGUUAAAUAGGAUGUCCUACUGAAGAGCAUAAAUAAUGUGAUUGUUUAGUAAGCAAGCAAAGCUGCUAAAUGAAAAGGUGCUAAAGCAGGCAUAGUGUUUCUCCUGUUUUAUCUUCCAAAGCAUUACUCCUUGGCACCAAGCUGAGAACAUACUAACAUGUAAAGAAUACUGUACAGGAGUCUCACCUUAACAAUAAGCUUGUGAAGUCAGUAUGCUAAUAAUGCCGGGAGGUUUUUUAUUUUCUUCGUGUCAUGGGCUGUCGGAGGCAGCAGUUAAUUGCCUGGAUGGAAAGGUGCGGAGAGACGGGGAGAGGGAAGUGAGGAAACAUCCUGGUCCACUGUCACAAAAUGUCCGUGGUUCUGCCCCCCUCCUGGCGGUGCUUUGCAUGCAGCAACGUGCUGCUCUGCCUGCGUGUCCCACCGACACCAAGCAACCUGAGAGCAGCCCGGGCAGUGCUGUAGCUGAAGGAAUCCUUCACUCCUUCGUAGUGCUCAUUAGUUUGGGUUGAAUGUUGUCUACAGAACUUUUCUCGGGAGAUGCAGAAUAAGUACUCAGAUUUGCAUUUCUUUAAAAAGCAUAUCCUGAAUCUGAGGUAACUCUUCCUCUGAAUUAUGGUCUGGUACAAUUUUGGUACCCUGUACCUUUUCAGAAAAGAUCAUUGUACUUCUGUGUUAACACUGUAUAUGGGAUGCCUGGAACAUGUUCUAAUUUGUAUGAUAACUAUUGUGUUCAUUUUACAGAGUUUUAAUAGAUCUGUGGCAGCUAUUGUCGGAGCUUUUGCAAACAUGGCGUUGUAAAAUGAAGGCAGAUACCGACUUCAGCAACUGCACUGUGCCAAGGAAAAGUAGAACUGAAAGGGAGAUGAAAUUUUAGCCUGUUCGGAAGGGAAGCAUUUUCUUGGUUGCUGUUUAUAUUAUCGUUGUCAGGUGUUUCUGCCUGAUGGGAUGCUGGAUGGUUGGUGGUAGUUAAUCCAGCAGAGAUGUCUGAAGCUGAGCGAAUCUUUGCUUGAUUACAGGAAUUCAGUGGGAGAGUUCUUGCUACCAGAUAGCAUAAGGAGCCGUGAAGUCUCUUGGGACAGACAAGUUGCAUGUAGCAACGGUGUUUACUUCUGGCAGGAGGGAAAAAAGGAGAUUUCUAGCUGUUGUCUGCGUGUGUUUUGUAAACUGAAAGCACUGUUUGCUUUCAGGUCUAGCUGCUGUGCUGUCCUGAGUCCUGCGGUUCGACAUUUUAGGGAUGUCUUCCCCCCUCAGCCCUCCUCCUAUUUAUUUGACCCGUCUUUAUAUGCUAAUCUGUUAAUGUCUGCUAUAUAUCAGUGUACGUAACUCUUGAGGUAUCUUUCAUAUUCUGACUUCUGCGACUUCAGGGCAGUGGCCCAGGCUCCCAGAGCUAUCCGGAUUCUCUUUAUGCUGCUGAUAGAGGACAGGAUUCCAAGUCUGUGAAAAGCAGUUGGUAUUUUUUCUCAGUAAGACGUACGUAUAGUAGAGACACACGUAAGGCAAGUCUAAACAGACAGGAACCUUUAGAAUCCUGUGGUGUCAAAUACUGCUUGUGUUUUAAGACAGGUGUCAGUGGUGUUCGGAACUGCUUCCGUCGUUUCAGAGCAGCCUCUGAGUGCAGCACAGGGAUGUAUAAGUGUCAUUGCCCUCUGCCGGAGGAGAGCAGAAGCACAGCGCUGCCUGGUGGGCCCGAGCUGCUCUGGGGCAACGCUCCCCACCUCCCUUGGCGUUCCAGCUUCCUUGUCAGCUCAGGUUCGAGCCAGAUCGGCUAGUUGGUAUUCUUUCCUUCUUAUCUGUGUCCAUGGGCAUCUGUUCAGUGAAGCCUGUAGUUGUCUGUAUAAACAGAAGGCAGAACGGCAGAUGCGGCAUCAUGGGACCUGCUAGUUCUCUUAAAAACUGUCAUCUACAACCACAGCUAACUCUGUUAGCUUAAAAAAAAAAAUUGUACCCUUCCCAUAAAAGAAAAAAAAAAAGAUAUCAUGGCUUUAAUCUUUGAAUGGUUAGCCCUGUCAGGUUUUGGUAAUCCAGGGUACCUAUGGACAGUACUGACGAAGAAAUCAGUGCUUGGAAUUUAAGACACAUUUGAAUAGCAUUUGUAUGGCACAUUGCAGGGGUGAGAUCUGGCUGAUGUAAUAUGUCCUCACUAACACUGAAUAUAUCUGCUGGCUUUGGUAAGCCUGUAGUAUAGCACAGCACUAUUUUAUUAUUGUUUUGUGGUUUAGAUAAAUUCUUGCUUUAUUCUCCUCCAGAAACUGGAGUUUUCAUGUUUGAGUGGUGUUGAGGUUAAAGGGACAUAAUGAAGACAGAGUUCAGUUAUCCUACGUCAGCGAGAGCCUCUGUUUGCUAACAGAAUUACUGGCGUUCAUGAGGAAGUCCUUGCAGAACGUUGGAAAGAAAAAGUCAGAGAUGGUGAUCAGGGAGAAUUAGCCAUGAAUUGUAAAUUGAACUGAGCCAACUUCAGUUACUUAAAAGAAGUAUUGUUUUGGUAAUGAGUGGCACCUAUAAGCAGUGAUACUGGAAAUCAAAAUAGUGUAAUACAGAAGGAAAAAAUAUUGGUAGGGAUGUUUGAUUGGUUUGCCUGGGCCCUUAGCGUUAUGGUGGGAGAGAGAUCUCUCUAAGGGCAUACAUGGAAAACAGAUUGUCCAGGAGCAGCCUGGAUGACUGAGUAUAGUCCUAUGUUGCACAUGGGCACGUGCUAUGACUCAGUUUUCAGGCUCCAGAUGGAAAUUGUCCCCGGUCCUCUUAAAAGGCUGUUCUGUGUUUGAUAUCACUGGUGCUUAGAAAUAUCAGACUCAAGUCCCUGGUAAAUUUAAGUCGCAGUCAGCGUGCAUCCAUUUUUUUUGUUGUGCAAAUACUUUCCGUUAACGUCAAUACGUUAAUGUCUCUCUCUUGUUUUGCACAUGCUGCAUCUGUGAAUAGCAGUUAACUGCUUUCAUGGCCUUUAUUUUGUUCUAGACCAUCAGUUCUUAACUUCUUUUGUCAUGCCCUCCCCCCUCUUCAGGAUGUAUUGCAUGCCCCUGUAGUUUGAAGACCACUGGUUUCAAAACCAAACUUCUUCAGUCUUUUCCUGUAACUUCAUGUUCCUGUGGGUAAAGUUACUUCUGAGAAUGUUCAUAUAGUGUUAUUCUCACUGUUCCUAGGUCAGAUAAAUAAUAUAAACGCUAUUUUGCCAUGUCUGGUAUCAGUUUAGUCACAGUCUCUGUGGGAUGUACCUCAUUGUAUUUAUACCUUCCAUUCAUGUUUUCCUUAGAAAUGACGAAGUACUCCUAUUAUCAUGAGCAGGUUUAAUUUUGUUCCCGACGCUGUUGGCUGAUUAAAGCAGUGAUUGCAUCUUCUGGCAGUUUGUAACAAAAUCCAUUACCACAAAAAUAAUGUGUUUAUCUGCAGUAUAUGCGGUCUACUUUCAAGAACAGGUUUGUGAUGCACAUAACGUUUCUAAUAGCCAGGGACUACAGCUUUUUUUUCCAACCACACUUAAACUGGAAGCCCACCCUGAGACUUGCAGAUAUCUCCUCUUUUGUAGCUGUGUCUAAUUAUUUGUAUACUUCUAAUGCUACUGGCUUCUCUGUGCAGUUUAUUUGGGUAAAUUAUGUGUGGUUUAUUUCAUUUUAACAUGCGAUCAUAAAUCUUUGCAAAGACCUUAACCAAUAUUGUUAACAGUUCACUGUUCUUUUCAGUAACACAGGCAGAAACACAUAAGGAUUUCACAAGAAGUUGUGGUGAUUCCUAUUCCCUUCAGGUUUUUUCUUCGUCUGUUCCAUUGUCUGUAGCUGCUGCUGGUGUCUGCCUUCAUUCUGCUACUGCCUGGCAGAAAGCAAACAACAAAAAAAGGGUGAAUAAGUCUAUCUUCUUCCUGCAGGUGGUAUUUAUGAUUCUAUUUUUUUUUCUUCAGUUAUUUCUCUGCCUUUCUUGCAGCAAAAGCGAACUUUGCCUAUUUCCUGAAUGUUACGUUACCUUUGUGGUUUGGUGCCUCUGGAAGUUUAAAGAGGGAGUAGAAAACUGAGCAAGGAAAGGCAUCAUUGGGAUUCUCCUUCUGCCCCGUCCUUGCUGUGAUGCUGGGCCUUACGUGGUUCUCAGUUCAGUUUGCCUUACAGCUUUAGCUGCAUUCAGACGCAGGAGCUGCAUUCAGUGAUGUAUGUUUUCAGUAAUGUCUGUCUUCUGCUCUUGUCUGUUGCUGUCAUGAGGUAGUCAAGACAUGAAGAUGAAUGCAAACUCAUCUUACCUUCUUAGUGAUGCUUAAGGAGAUCUUCCUGCGGCUUGCAUAAUCAUAAUGUUAACAUUUCUUAAAAAUAAAUGAAUAUCCCAUUCCUCACUUAAGUUGACUUCCCUGUGAGUGGCUUCACAUCCUGUAGUUGUAAGAUAGAUGUUUGUAGCAUCUCCACUACUUGCAGUAGAUGAAUGGAACUUUUAUAGAGUACUUGAUUUUAAGACAGUCUUUCUAGUAACAUCUCUUACAGAACUGGAUUCAGAAUUUAAUUUUUCCUACCAUUGUUUUCUCACUCUAAAAUGAACAAAGAUAUAAAGAUGUUUUCUCAACCAAUUGGUAUUCAGCUGACCCCUCUACUUCUACGCUCCGGGCCUCUAAAGAAUUCUGUUAAGUAGUAUUUGUAUUAAUAGUAUCAUCUGUGCUCUCCUGUGGUUUAUAAGAGCAUAUUUAAGUAUUACAUUAUGUUAACCAGCUCUGUGGAUAGCUCAGGAUUCAAGUUGCUUAUAUUUGCAGUUCUGCUGCUUUGUUUUUCAUCUCCUGUGAGUGUUGUAAAUAAGAGGUUGGGGGUGCAGAGGAGGAGUCCUUCCAGUACUGACUACCAGUGCUGCUGGGAAAGGGGUCAGCUUGAACUAGCUUGAGGUAUCCCAGUGAGGCAAGUUGGCUGUGGCUGGUGGGGCUUGUUUGUUACAGGGGAAUCAAGCUGGCAGCAAGGAGGGCACAGAAAGGGAGUCAUCAAGUGAGCACUGCCUGUACUCAGCCAUUCCUGAAAAGAGAGAUUCAGACAUAGAAGCACAAAAAAA